CAUUUAAAGGUAGAUACCUGGAAUGAAAUUGGAGACGCUCUCGCCAGUACGGGCGAAAUUUGCAAAAAAAAGAUGACAAGCGUUUUAUCGUCGUACAGACGUGAGAAAGCGAAAGAAACAAAUACACAUGGUACUGGAAAAGGUUCAGCGGAAGUAUACAAAAGCAGAUGGUUUGCGUAUGAUGCUCUGGCCUUUCUGAAUGAAAGAAACCAACCGCGAAAACGAUCUAAUACCAAUUGAAUGGGGCUUGAAUUACCACAUGUUUGCCGUCCAUACUACCCAAACAAUGCGGAAAAUUCCACUGAGAUUCAUAUUCUUCUGCUAUUUUUAUCCAUUCAUUAGGAGAAUCGGGCAACUGAAAUAAAAAAAGGUCAUUGAUGAUGAAAAAAACGUAAACGAAACAUCGGCGGAGGAAAAGGUCGAUCAAGCAGAACCACGUUCUGCACCAAUACCACCCAAGAAGAAACAACCCACCGACUAAAAACUGGACUUAUUGAAGCAAUCAUACGGAAUAUUAAAAGCGGCCUCAGACAACGUUAAUUCACUUUCUAAUCAAAUGAGUAUUCAGAAUGAAGAGGUUCGGUAUUUUUGUGGAUUCAUUGGAAAUAAAAUGUCUAAAUAUUCAGACAUAACUAGAGCUUCAGUUCAACAUGCAAUUCACAAUAUCAUUUUUCAAGCUGACCGUGGGUUCUAUGAGGCCACCUAUACCGGAAACAUGCACUACAUGGGACCAUCUACAUCAACUACUUCAU